UAGUCCACGCCCUAAACGAUGCUCACUCGGUAUUGGCGAUAUAUUGUCAGUGCCUAAGGGAACCCAUUAAGUGAGCCACCUGGGGAGUACGUUCGCAAGAAUGAAACUCAAAGGAAUUGACGGGAUCCGCACAAGCGGUGGAGCAUGUGGUUUAAUUCGAUGAUACGCGAGGAACCUUACCUAGGCUCUAAUGCCUCUGCUACCCCUUGAAAGAGGGGGUUCCUUCGGGACAGAGUGCAAGGUGCUGCAUGGUUGUCGUCAGCUCGUGCCGUGAGGUGUUGGGUUAAGUCCCGCAACGAGCGCAACCCUUGUCUUUAGUUGCCAUCAUUUAGUUGGGCACUCUAGAGAAACUGCCGGUGACAAACCGGAGGAAGGUAAGGAUGACGUCAAGUCAGCAUGCCCCUUACGCUCUGGGCUACACACGUGCUACAAUGGUCGUGACAAAGAGUUGCUAGUCUGCGAAGGCAAGCCAAUCUCAUAAACGCGGCCUUAGUUCGGAUUGCAGG
rnacentral:rRNA from 1 species